UCUUACCUGGCAGGUCUGCGUGCUUUCCCGUAUGUCUCUACUCAGACCUUGGAUGUCUUUUGAAAUCUCCAGGACGGCGCCUCACUUGCACAGGUGUGUCCACUCUGACGGAGGCUCUAACUCCUGGUUUGCACCCAGUUUCCCAGAUGUGUCUCUACUGCCUUGAGAAGUCUCGUUAAUUUCCAAUUGCGUUCUUCUGCGUGGCAUGUCUCCCUUCUCCCUAAUUCUCCAUGGGUCUACUCUGACCUAGAAGUCUGAAUUUUUCCCUGUUUUGAAUCUGGCUAGAACAUCCCCCUCGUUCCCCAAGAGAGUCUGCGCUAAUCAGUGAGGUCUCCCUAAUUCAGGGAAGUUUAUGUCUGAAGUUCCCUCAAACAUCUACGGAUGUCACCGCCUCGGUACGGCAGUUCCCCAAGUGUGUCUACACCGGGAUGUGUCUGAUUCCUGAAGAGGAUGUCCGCAUGAUGCCCAGCCGUGUCUGCCCCGGACUGGGGUUCUCCUCAGUUCCCCAGCGUGCCCAGCAGGGCCUCUCUCAGUGCUCGGCUGCCUCCCUUGCGGGGAGGCCUCCUGAUUGUCCAGAUGGGUCUGCCCACACCUGCACCGAGGCCCUUAUUUUCCAAGACCGACUUGCCUGAGUUGCUGUCCUCUCGGCAGUGCCCCGGUUGUGUAAACACUGACCUGGGAUGUACACUGACGUCACCAAUGAAUCUAAGCUGACCUGAGAUGCGUCCCCACCUCACCAGGUGUGACUGUUCUAGGACUUUACUGCCUCUCCAGGAGUGUCUUCUCUGAAUGGUGAUGCCUACUUCCUUACUUGGGAGGUCUUUUCUCUUGUGUGGGAUGUCUAUUUCCCAGGUAGGUCGUCUCUGAACUCGGCGGCCUCCUUACUAACCCAGCUGGGUCUCCACUAGCCUUAGAUGACCUCCAGUUCCCUAGUCAUAUCUACACCGAUUUUGGAAGUAUACCGAUUUCUUCAGAGGUCUACGAUUACCUGGUACACUGCCUGAUUUCCCAGUGGCAUUAACUUUGAGCUGGCAUAUUUCCGUAAUUCCUCAGGUGUCUCUACCGUAAUCUGGGAUGUCCCCUAAUUCAAGCAUCCACCCUGAUCUGGGAUGUAUCCCAAAUUCCUCAGGUGGAUCUAGACUUAACUGGGCUCCUCCCUAAUCCCCCGGGUUUGUCUACGUGAACUUAUGUCUCCCAAGUUCCCCAGGCAGGUCUACACCAACUUGGAAUGUCUCCCUAAUCCACAAGGUACUUCUCCUUUGGCCUGGGAUUGUCUCGGUCACCGGGUGUGUCCUAGACUCGAUUAUCUCUUGUUCCCGGGUGUUUCUGUAGCAACCUUGGACAGCUCCCCAGUUCCUCAGGUUUGCCUAAACGGACUUGAGAUGUUUCCUUAAUACCCAAAGUGUGUCUGUCCUGGCUUGGGAUGUCACUCUAGUUUUCAGGUACAUCUUCAGUGACCUGGAACGACUCCCUAUUUAUCCCCUGAUCUGGUUGUCUCUCUACUCUGGCGUGUCAACACUCAUCUGGGAUGUUUAAUUCCCUAUUUGUAUCUGUUCUGACCUAGAAUGUCCCAUUGAUAUCCCAGGUAUGUCUACACUGACCUGAGAGUUGUCUAAUUCUCCAGGUGUGUUUACCCUGAACCGGGACUUUUCACUAAUUCCUCGGGUGUGUCUGUACACCCAAUUAUGCUGGUGUGUCAGUGCUGAUCUGUGUGGUCUUGUUUUCCAAGUGUGUCUUCGCUGACAAGGAACGUCUUCUCUGUUCCCCUGAAAUGUCAACCAGGGAUGUCACCCUAACUCCCAGCUGUAACCGUCCUGAGCCGGAUUUUCUCCCUAAUUCACAAAAUGUGUCUACUCUUGCCUGGCAUCUAUCUUUAUUUCCCCAUAUGCCUCUACUGACCUCAUAGGUCUCCCUAAAACCCCAGGUGUGUCUACACUGACCUGGGAGGGCUUUUUUGGGUGUGUGUAGUCUGACCAGAGAGGUCUCCUGAGUCUACGCCGAAUUGGCCUGUCUCCCUGGUUCCCAACGAAUGUCUACAUUGUCGCGGGAGGUCUCCCUUAGUCCCCGUGAGUUUCUCUGCUGACCUGGGAUGUCUCGUUUCCCAGCUGGGUCUACUCUGACCGGCGAGGUCUUGUCAACCUGACUUGGGAGGUCUCCCUAAUUCCCCGUUUUGUCUACGUUGACCUGAGUUGUCUCCCUAGCUCCCUGGCUCUGCCUACUUUGACCUUCGAUGCCUUAUUCCCCAGGUUUGUCACUUCUUGCCUGGGAUGUCUGCCUAGGUCUCCAGGGUGUCCCCCUACUGUAGGAUGCCUUCUCACCCCCCUGCUUCAUCUGGUGUAUCUGCACCCACGUGGGAUGUCGAGUUCUGUAGGUGAGUCUACUAGAAAACUAAAAUCCAGAGCGCUUUACUUGAGCUGAGUAUUUUACUGAGAAACCAGCAUUUUGGAAAUGGGGACACAUUCAAACGGCAAGUGGCUACGAAGCGGCUCUCAGCUGUCACAGGCCCGUCUGUAAAGCAGGAAUGUGCAAGUCCAACACUUUCCAUUGUGACUGGAGUUGGUGACUGACAUGGCUUUUCAGUGCAUCAGCUUACUUGAAUAUAGCUGAUUAGUUGGGAAUCUGUAAAGUCAUGCUGACUCGAAGAAAGCUCAAGUGUUGUUUAAAAUUGGAGUUAUUAGCAUUUUUGGAAUCAGGACAGUUUGAAAAUCUGGUUAGGUGACUAUGAGUCUGGUAUGGGGGCAUACCCAACCUGUGGUCUCCACUUGUUUUAUUUUUUUUAAUGUUUAUUUUAUUUUUGAGACAGAGACGGAGCAUGAGCAGGGGAGGGGCAGAGAGAGAGGGAGACACGGAAUCCGAAGCAGGCUCCGGGCUCCGAGCUGUCAGCACAGAGGCCCCCAGCGGGGCUCAGACUCGUCGACUGCAAGAUCAAGACCUGAGCCGGUUGGACACUCAACCUACUGAGCCACCCAGGCGCCCCUCGGUUUCAUUUGUCUUUUAAGAUUUUAUUUUACUUUUGAGAGAAAGGGAGAGAGAGAAUCCCAAGCAGGCUCCAUGCUCAAUGUGGAUCCUGAUGUGGGGCUCGAUCCCACAACCCUGAGAUCAUGACCUGAGCCAAAAUCAAGAUGACCUGAGCCAAAAUCAAGAAUUGGGACACUUAACCGACUGAGCCACUGGGCACCCCUCCAUUUCAUUAAAAAAAAAAAAAAAAAAUCCCUUCCAGCGCUCCUGGGUGGCUCAGUGGGUUGUGUCUGACUUUGGCCCAGGUCAUGAUCUCAUGGUUCAUGAGUUUGAGCCCCGUGUCACGCUCUCUGCUGUCAGUGUGGAGCCCGCUUCAGAGCCUCUGUCCUCCUCUCUCUCUGCACCUCUCUUAAAAAUAAACAUUAACAUAAAAACCAGUUCCUUCCCGUCAAUCACUCUCCCUGUUGAACGGAGAGCAGUUUACUGUUUAGCAUCACGUGACCCUUCUUUGGCCAUUGAAGAUCAUGAACCAGAAUCUCAUUAGGUUCUUCAGCUCGCAUGGAGAUCACGAUUAGUGUUUACUGAUGACUCUUGAAAAGAUACACAAUAACGGGUAUUAACACAAGAAACAGGAGGAUAAUAGCAAAUGUCUGGAAAAUACCCCAAAUCCAAGAUUCCCAUUUGCCCAAGUUUAACCACCUGGAAAGAUCAAAUUGGUUAUAAUGAGAUUGUUUUUACUUUUACAAGUCAAUCUGCAUUGUUUUUUAUAAUGUGCAAUUGGGUUUUAAUUUUCUGAGUUAUGUAUGUAGGCACAACAUGACGGGGCGCCUGGGUGGCUCAGCCUAUUGAACGUCUGACUCCGGAUUUCAGCUUGGGUCAUGAUCCCAAGGUCGUGGGAUCGAGCCCGGCGUUGGGCUCUGUGCUGACAGCAUGGAGCCUGCUUGGGAGUCUCUCUGCCCGCCCCCUACCCCUGCCGCCCUGCCUGUGUGCACACAAAAUAAACAUUAAAAACCCACAAUGUAAAAGUGGUAACAGAUUCUUAUGUAACUGUAGGUAUUCUUCAGUAGAUAGACCCACCAAGGGAAUCUUGGAGAAAUACCUUAUAAAGGUAGGCACUCCUAGGCAACCAGGUCAAAAUCCCAGAUUAGUAUAGAAGCACUUUGGGAAUUAGACAUCCCAUCAGUAUAGACACACCGGGGGAAUUAGGCAGAUCCACGAGGUCAGAGCAGACACAUCUGUGUUGCAGGGAGACAUUACUGGUCAAGUAGACACAUGAGGGGAGUAGGAGGAGUAAUGUUGGGGCUUCGAGAGAAACUCUAGGUCAGGGGAGGCAGACCGGGGAUGUAGGGACCAUCCUGAGAAAUACUCAACUCAUCUUGAGAAUUAUGAAGACACCCCAUGUGAGUGUGGACAUAGCAGGGAAUAAGGUUACAACAAAGGUCAGAAGAGCCACAUGGGAAAUUAGGUAGACAUCCUCAAGUGUAGACCCUCCUGGGUAGAGUUCAGAUAAGAGCAGGGGAAAAGCUAUGCAGGUACAUGUACACACAGCUGAUUAUUAAGGAGGCAUCGAGGUGCGGCUGGCAUACAGCAGGGUAAACAGGGAGACGUUCCGGGUCAGAGUAGACGGAGCCAGAGAAUUCAAGACCUCUGAAGUGAGAGAACACACGUGGGGAAACCGGUUU